rnacentral:rRNA from 1 species
CANGUCGGGCGGCAGCAUGGACUUCGGUCUGAUGGCGAGCGGCGAACGGGUGAGUAAUGCAUCGGAACGUACCUAGUCGUGGGGGAUAACUACCCGAAAGAGUAGCUAAUACCGCAUACGUCCUACGGGAGAAAGCAGGGGAUCGCAAGACCUUGCGCGAUUGGAGCGGCCGAUGUCUGAUUAGCUAGUUGGUGAGGUAAAGGCUCACCAAGGCGACGAUCAGUAGCGGGUCUGAGAGGAUGAUCCGCCACACUGGGACUGAGACACGGCCCAGACUCCUACGGGAGGCAGCAGUGGGGAAUUUUGGACAAUGGGCGCAAGCCUGAUCCAGCCAUUCCGCGUGAGUGAAGAAGGCCUUCGGGUUGUAAAGCUCUUUCGGCAGGAAAGAAAUCGCCCGCUCUAACAUAGCGGGUGGAUGACGGUACCUGAAGAAGAAGCACCGGCUAACUACGUGCCAGCAGCCGCGGUAAUACGUAGGGUGCGAGCGUUAAUCGGAAUUACUGGGCGUAAAGCGUGCGCAGGCGGCUUUUUAAGCCAGAUGUGAAAUCCCCGGGCUUAACCUGGGAACUGCAUUUGGAACUGGAAGGCUANAGUGCGGCANAGGGGGGUANAAUUCC